rnacentral:rRNA from 1 species
GAUGAACGCUGGCGGCGUGCUUAACACAUGCAAGUCGAACGGAAAGGCUCCUGCUUGCAGGGGUACUCGAGUGGCGAACGGGUGAGUAACACGUGGGUGAUCUGCCCUGCACUUCGGGAUAAGCCUGGGAAACUGGGUCUAAUACCGGAUAGGACCACAUUUUGGAUGGUGUGGUGGAAAGUUUUUCGGUGUGGGAUGAGCUCGCGGCCUAUCAGCUUGUUGGUGGGGUAAUGGCCUACCAAGGCGUCGACGGGUAGCCGGCCUGAGAGGGUGUACGGCCACAUUGGGACUGCGAUACGGCCCAGACUCCUACGGGAGGCAGCAGUGGGGAAUAUUGCACAAUGGGCGCAAGCCUGAUGCAGCGACGCCGCGUGGGGGAUGACGGCCUUCGGGUUGUAAACUCCUUUCGCUAGGGACGAAGCGCAAGUGACGGUACCUGGAGAAGAAGCACCGGCUAACUACGUG